rnacentral:rRNA from 1 species
GAUGAACGCUGGCGGCGUGCCUAAUACAUGCAAGUCGAGCGAACGGACGAGAAGCUUGCUUCUCUGAUGUUAGCGGCGGACGGGUGAGUAACACGUGGAUAACCUACCUAUAAGACUGGGAUAACUUCGGGAAACCGGAGCUAAUACCGGAUAAUAUUUUGAACCGCAUGGUUCAAAAGUGAAAGACGGUCUUGCUGUCACUCAUAGAUGGAUCCGCGCUGCAUUAGCUAGUUGGUAAGGUAACGGCUUACCAAGGCAACGAUGCAUAGCCGACCUGAGAGGGUGAUCGGCCACCCUGCCACUGAGACACGGCCCAGACUCCGACGGGAGGCAGCAGUAGGGAAUCUUCCGCAAUGCGCGAAUGCCUGACGGAGCACCGCCGCGUGAGUGAUGAAGGUCUUCGGAUCGUAGAACUCUGUUAUUAGGGAAGAACAUAUGUGUAAGUAACUGUGCACAUCUUGACGGUACCUAAUCAGAAAGCCACGGCUAACUACGUG